rnacentral:snRNA from 1 species
AAGCCCGCGAUUUGGUUCGGGUU